rnacentral:rRNA from 1 species
ACAGCGGAGCAUGUGGUUUAAUUCGAAGCAACGCGAAGAACCUUACCAGGUCUUGACAUCCUCUGACAAUCUGAGAGAUCAGACUUUCCCUUCGGGGACAGAGAGACAGGUGGUGCAUGGUUGUCGUCAGCUCGUGUCGUGAGAUGUUGGGUUAAGUCCCGCAACGAGCGCAACCCCUGUGGUUAGUUGCCAUCAUUUAGUUGGGCACUCUAAGCAGACUGCCGUGGAUAACACGGAGGAAGGUGGGGACGACGUCAAAUCAUCAUGCCCCUUAUGACCUGGGCUACACACGUGCUACAAUGGUCUGAACAGAGGGCUGCGAAACCGCGAGGUGAAGCUAAUCCCUUAAAACAGAUCUCAGUUCGGAUUGCAGGCUGCAACUCGCCUGCAUGAAGUUGGAGUUGCUAGUAAUCGCAGAUCAGCAACGCUGCGGUGAAUACGUUCCCGGGCCUU